ACAUGCCUACAACAUAGAAUUAAUGCACCAGAUCCCAUUAGAACUCCACAGUUAAGCACGCUCGGGCUAGAGUAGUACUGGGAUGGAUGAACGCCCAAGAAAUCCUUGUGUUUUACAUGCC
rnacentral:rRNA from 1 species